UGGCCCAGCUUUAAGAGCACUGAACGUGUGAAACGGGCAGCUGCUAACGAGGAGGAGCAUGAGCCAAACUGGCCAAGAUAUGACGUAAAGGUCGUCAGAACUUGUGACAACUACAAAGACGCCAUCAGGCUAAUGAAUCAAUAUCAGACCGGCUGCAACGCCUCUGAGCUACAGUCUGAGGCAGAGCAGGAGGGAUAGCUGCCAGAGAAACGAGUCAGGAAGCCAAUCCAUCGUUUUGGGGACUGAUGAGAGUGAAGAAGAGCCAGAAAAUUGUGACUUAGCUUCUCUGAGGUCGCCACGACCUUCCAACUCGGCUGGUGUAUCAGUUGGAGCCUCAAGCCCAAACCAAUUACACUGGCAGAGUAAGGAAUAAUCUCUUAACAUCAAAAUAACAAAAUCAUAAUAUUAAUAAUAUAGAUAUGGUUUACCUUGUUAGUGCUAAAGAUAUUCCCCUCUCCUUGUAUCCAUUCCUCCAGCUCCACCA